rnacentral:rRNA from 1 species
GAUGAACGCUGGCGGCGUGCCUAAUACAUGCAAGUCGAGCGAACGGACGAGAAGCUUGCUUCUCUGAUGUUAGCGGCGGACGGGUGAGUGACACGUGGAUAACCUACCUAUAAGACUGGGAUAACUUCGGGAAACCGGGGCUAAUACCGGAUAAUAUUUUGAACCGCAUGGUUCAAAAGUGAAAGACGGUCUUGCUGUCACUUAUAGAUGGAUCCGCGCUGCAUUAGCUAGUUGGUAAGGUAACGGCUUACCAAGGCAACGAUGCAUAGCCGACCUGAGAGGGUGAUCGGCCACACUGGAACUGAGACACGGUCCAGACUCCUACGGGAGGCAGCAGUAGGGAAUCUUCCGCAAUGGGCGAAAGCCUGACGGAGCAACGCCGCGUGAGUGAUGAAGGUCUUCGGAUCGUAAAACUCUGUUAUUAGGGAAGAACAUAUGUGUAAGUAACUGUGCACAUCUUGACGGUACCUAAUCAGAAAGCCACGGCUAACUACGUG